rnacentral:rRNA from 1 species
UGAGGAAUAUUGGUCAAUGGGGGCAACCCUGAACCAGCCAAGUCGCGUGAAGGAUGAAGGUCUUAUGGAUUGUAAACUUCUUUUACACGGGAAUAAAGUGGGGGACGUGUCCCCCUUUGCAUGUACCGUGUGAAUAAGGAUCGGCUAACUCCGUGCCAGCAGCCGCGGUAAUACGGAGGAUCCGAGCGUUAUCCGGAUUUAUUGGGUUUAAAGGGUGCGCAGGCGGGAUGUUAAGUCGGCGGUGAAAUUUUGCAGCUCAACUGUAAAAGUGCCUUCGAUACUGGCCUCCUUGAGUGUGGAUGAAGUAGGCGGAAUUUGUGGUGUAGCGGUGAAAUGCUUAGAUAUCACGAGGAACUCCGAUUGCGCAGGCAGCUUACUAAGCCACAACUGACGCUCAUGCACGAAGGCGUGGGGAACAAACA